rnacentral:rRNA from 1 species
GAUCAGUGGCUCGAGGACGAACGCUGGCGGUGUGCUUCACACAUGCAAGUCGAACGAGGUAGCAAUACCUAGUGGCGGACGAGUGAGUAACGCGUGGGAAUCUGCCUUGAGAUGGGGGAUAACGAGCCGAAAGGCUCGCUAAUACCGCAUAUGCCGAAAGGUGAAAGGAGUAAUCCGUCUUAAGAUGAGCCCGCGUCCGAUUAGCUAGUUGGUGGGGUAAAGGCCUACCAAGGCGACGAUCGGUAGCUGGUCUGAGAGGAUGAUCAGCCACAAUGGGACUGAGACACGGCCCAUACUCCUACGGGAGGCAGCAGUGGGGAAUUUUACGCAAUGGGGGAAACCCUGACGUAGCGACACCGCGUGAGCGAAGAAGCCCUUUGGGGUGUAAAGCUCUGUCAGCUGGAACGAAAAAAUGACGGUACCAGCAGAGGAAGCAUCGGCUAACUACGUG